AAAGACUGAAUGAUUCCUAAUAUACUUCAAUACUUGAUCAGUUUUCUUGUAAGAUCCUUUAGAAUGUACAUGGUGAGUUACGAAAUUCAUGGCUAUUGUUAACAAUCAUUCGGAAUUCAUUUGACAGAAGGUUCAUUUAUUAGUUUGGUCACGAUUGGUUAUGUUUAGUUCAAGUUCUGGUAGGUAUAAAGUUCCUAAAAUUUUCAAGUGACCGCUCUUAGGUAUAGUCUUAAGAUAUAAGUCACAGGUUUAUCACAUCAUCAACCUCCCUUUUGGUUCAGGGAGAGAAAUCUUCUAGGUAUGAUGAUUAUGAUUUAUCAUGCUUUGGCUGCACUACUCUGAUACUUAUAUACUUAAGAGGUUUGUAAUGGUUUGUUGUGAGAACAUGCCCUAAGGUCUUUUUUUUCACCAAUAGAAAUUUAUUUAGGAGUAAUGAGAUUUUUUUUUAAGAUGAUGGAUUCGAUAAAACUUGAUGUUACUCAUGUUAUUUCUUUUCAUCAUUUUUCUCGUACUU
rnacentral:lncRNA from 1 species